CUACAUUUAAACGAGUUUAAAAGGGAAAAAAAUAUCACAGAUUCCAUGUAUUUUAGAGCUCUGAAAUGCUGGAUUUAAUGGGAAUUCGUGGAGCGAAGGGUCUUGGACCAACUCUGUGAGCCAUCUCCCCCUGGAAUUUCCUGCAGGAUGGGGCUGGCUGAUACAACACCAGCCUUUCCACCUGGGUUUAAUUCACCUUAAUCCACUCUUUCUGACUCCCACUCGCAGCUCCUUGUCACCCUCAGCAGUCACAAACAUCCCUCAAACCCGGGACAUCUCCCGGCCGGGGGGUUCUGGAGCUUCUCGUGCUCGAGGGAGCUGAUUUGGGGUGGGGGUUAAAAUUCAACCCUUUUUAACUAUUUCCCCCCCUUUUCGCAGCGGAAAAACGCGCUCCGAGGGCCAUCAGGAAAUACGGCGACAAGAGGGACAUCCCCUGGAAAGUGGCCUCCCUCCUGCCGGGGCUCCGCUACGCCCUGAGGAAAGCCGGGAGCUGCCCCUGGAACGACUCGGUCAGCGCCAGCACCAGGAUCAAGCAGCACUUCCAGGAGUACGCGAAGCUGGGGCAGGACCCGGAGCCCGAGGGCGGCGACCACCUGAGCCUUCCCCCUGCGGAGGAGGGAUCCAACCCCUUCCAGAGAUCCCCGGAGAAGUCCUUGUGCCAGCUGCGGCAACUUACCUCCUCAACCCCAAGGAGCUACACCCUUUGAAAGCUGUUUCGGCGGCCACCGGCUGCUUGAGAGGGGGACGGGCAGUCCCUGCUCGGCGCUGCUGCUGCUGCUCCUGCUGCUCCUGCCCCGCCCGCCGCUCCCAGGAGGGAAUCCCCCAAUUCCCGGGGCGGGGCAGAGCCCGAGGGAGGUUCCAGCGAUCCCCGGGGGGAGCAGGGAAGGAGGAAAUCCACCCGGCUCCUCAUGAGCAGGAGGAGGGGCUCGGCGGAGCCUCCCGCGGGAGACGAUGGCAGGAGCGCCAAGAGGAAACCCAGCGCCUCUCCCUCUUCCAAAAGGGCGGGAUCCACAGGGAAUUCCAAGGGGUCCUUGCUUAAGUUGGCCAACCUGCAGCUUCCACACGGGAGGAAAAGAGGUGCCGAGGUCCUGUCCGCCAAAAUCGUCCGCAAAUCCCCGGAGAAGCCCGCGGAGAAGGGAGACGGCGCUCCCGGCAUUCCCGAUUCUCCCGAUCCAGCAGCAAAGAGAGCGAAGGCUGCAGAGAGCCCAGACACCCCCAGUCCUGUUCCUGACCCCGUUCCCAUUCCCAUGGAGGUACCUCGUGCCGAGAGGGCCCCGACUCCGGUGAAAAACAGGGAGCAGGAAAGUCCGGAGCGCGACCCAUCCCAAGCUCCAGGCGACGGCGGCCGAGCGGGAAGCGGUGAGAGUUCCCUGGUUUGCCUUGGGAAAUCAUUCCCUCAAAAGGCUGAUUUGCCCAGUGAUGGCAGUGAGAGGACAAGGGGAUAAGGAUUUUAACUGGAAGAGGCUAAAUAUUGGGAUAUUGGGAAGGAAUUCCCUGGUGGUGCUGGCGCAGGGCGCCCAGAGGAGCUGUGGUUGCCCCUGGAUCCUUGGAAGUCUCCGAGGCCGGGUCGGACUGGGCUUGGAGUAAGGUGGGAUUGUGGAGUGUGUCCCAUGGCAGGGGGUUGGAAUUAGAUGGUCUUCAAGGUCCCUU
ensembl:lncRNA